rnacentral:rRNA from 1 species
UACGGAGGGGGCUAGCGUUGUUCGGAAUUACUGGGCGUAAAGCGCGUGUAGGUGGUGGGACAAGUCUGCUGUGAAAGCGCCUGGCUUAACCGGGAGAGGUCGGCGGAAACUGUUCGACUCGAGGACGGUAGAGGGGGGUGGAAUUCCCGGUGUAGUGGUGAAAUGCGUAGAGAUCGGGAGGAACACCUGUGGCGAAGGCGGCCCCCUGGGCCGGGCCUGACACUGAGACGCGAAGGCGUGGGGAGCGAACGGG